GAUACAUCCUUUGUAGGAUGGUUUGCAAGGAUGUGAAUCUGCAUGAGGCUCUUCACCUAGUGCUAGGCUUAUACCAUGCUUAAUGAGGGCUAGCUGUUAUCGUUGGUUUCAGGGCCACAUCUAACUUUGGAAUAACACAAAGACACAAGUGCCAAGCCCAGGAUGAUGAUGUGAAUCCAUCAAAAGAGAAAGUGAGGACACCGGCAAAACAGAACCCCCAAAUUUUAGUUCUUGCUCCAGCACCAGCCAUGCUGUAUGAAUCGGCAAACGGCCCAGAAAGAAGUUGGAAAGUGGCCCUAAGCACCUGUGUUCCCUGGCUCGAGGACUUCUUCCUGCUUCAUCUUCAUCAUGAAAAGGUCUCAGACAGGAGGUGUUAGUGACUUUUGGGAUUUUAAAGAAGCCAAGGAUGCUUGUGCUUUCUGCUCAGUCAGGCAGAAACAGACAAAUCUAACCUCAAAAAUAAUUACAAGUAGCCCCCAUAUUUUAGAUGUUCACGUGUUCCUCUUUGUGUUUGGAAAGAUGACCAAGUGGCAACAUUUCCGGGCUGCUGGGGGCAGUGCUGGAAGCGAUGGCCAGGCCUCAGCAAAGGCACUGACUGCAGCCCAUGUGGGGCCCAAAAGGCCAACUACAGCUUCUCUACCAGGUGCUGCAUUUGAGCAGGACUGGGGAUGUGUAUGGUGGGUAACUCCCUUAAUUUUAUCCCCAGUAUGGCCACCAAUGCCCACCCUCUGAGGCCCAAACAAAAAGGGAUGCCUGACACAGGUUUUAUUGUUUCCACUUUAUUGCUCAAGUGCAGAACUUGAGAUGGGCCUGGACCUUCAGCAACGUGCAGAGAGGCUGAGGUGGUAAGGAGGGUGGGGGGACAUGACCUGGCUGAGAAGGCAAACAGGUCUGAGAGGAAAUACUGGGAGGGAAUAGAGGGGGUGGUCAUCAUGACACCAGAAGACAUCAACCACACCAUCAGGGUAAAGAAGGGAACAGAGAGGUAAUGGGCACAACAAUGGUUUUUCCCAUGCCCCUGGCACCCACAUGGAGGCCACGUGUUUUGAAAUGGACAGGAAGGAGGAAAAUGGCUGCCCAGGAGGUUU